CUUGCAAUGGAAAUGUAUGUGAUAACUCCUUAAAGAGAUGGAUCGGAGGUCCGUCCUAUGAUAUCCUGUGCUACAAUAAUUUUUCUACAAAUCCUUCUAAAUAUGAAAUGAUUUCUGAAGAUUCUGGUCGGAGUUUUGGUCUUCGGAUUAAAAAUUUCACCUUUGAUGACGUCAACUGUAAAUAUACCUGCGCUUGUGGAUUGCAUCAGUAUACAAACAGUCUAGAUGUGGAACAUUUUAAUUAUACAUAUCCACCACGUGUUGUUGAAAAUUCCAAUUUUCAAACGGCAGAAGAAUAUGUUGUUGACGUUGUUAUAGAAGUCAAUCCAUUACCAACUUCAUGUUUCAUUCAGUACCAGGAUCGUGUCAUACAAGUGAAUCUCACCAGCAAUUCAAGCACACUUUCCACGUUUGAUGAACGAAGAUUCGGAAGGAACAAAGUUUUCAAAGAAAGUAUUAACUUAAAGCAUACAUUACAGAAAACUAAGCCAAAUAACUGUGACGGAAUUCUAAUUGUUACUUGUGAAGUUGAUUCUCGAAAUUAUGCAGUAUAUCAUCAGAAUGUUUCCACGUGCAAAGACCACAUUGUUAUCAACAAAACCACCAUAAAAGGACACCAUAUUGCAAUGGUUGUCAUAAUUAUUGUGUUGCUUAUUUUGAUCGUAAUGGUACUGGUGUGGAAUACCGUAAAGCAUCGUAAACCACGUGAAAUGUCUUGUUUGGACGAUAAAAGUAAUUUAAAGUGCAUAUGGACGAAACAGGCUGAGAACAAUAACGAACCACUGCCAGUAGUCAAUGAACCUCUUAUACUGUCAUAGUGGAUUCGAAAGGAAAAGUGAAAAUAUCUCUUCAAAUCAAAUGCUUGAGAAGAAAAUUCAGUAUCAACGACAUUCACCGAACAACGAUAUUAUACUUUAUAUUAUUGCGACUUAUUAUUUUGGUCGAUCAAAACAGCAUUAAGGUUGCCGGCUUAGCAUUAUAUUUGUGAUAAUAAGUGUUGUGAAAUCUGAUGUUCAGCUAAAUGAGUAAUAGCACAUUUUUAGAAAACUAUUUUGUUAUGAUAUUAUGUUAAUGGUGUUUAUAAAGACUCUGAAAUUUGCCUGUAAGAAAACAUUAAUUGAUAUGGUGAAAGUUACAAACUAAGUAAACUAAUCAAUAACGAAUCACCUUAUGUGUAGUGUGUCUCAUUGGUGAAAUAUGUAAUACAGCUUGUAUACUAUUAAGAGUUGAUAAAAUUGUAACAUUGAAAAUGAAACAGGGAAAAUAGUCUACAUUAGAUUGAUAAUGGAAAUGGGAAAUAUGUCAAAAGAAACAACAACCAAACCAAAGAACAGAAAUAGCCGAAGGCCAGUGAUGAGUCUUCAACACAAGGAGAAAAUCCCUCACCCGGAGUCACGCCUCAGCUGGCCCCUGAACAAAAAUGUGUACUAGUUCAGAGAAAAUGGACGUCGUACUAACCAUAUAAAUGAAUUAAAAAAAACAUAAAAGACUAACAAAGGUCAGAGGCUCCCGACUUGGGACAGGCGCAAAAAUGCGGCGCGGUUUAACAUGUUUUUUUUUAGAUCUCACCUCCCCCCUGUACCUCUAGUCAAUGUAGAAUAAAUACAUUCACAACAAUACGCAUAUGUAUUCCCAUUUUCGUAAAAAUCUUCUGUGUGUAUAUAUUUGUGUUUGAAAUAGUUAAGAAACUCUUAUACAAUGUUACAAAUGGUUUCAAAAGCGAUGUACAGAUGAAAUAAGUGUAUUUUUUUAUCCUUUUAUACAACAUGUAUUGACUCAAAAGCACAGAAGCUUUUCUUUUGAGGGCAACGAUACAGAUUGUAAACAAUUAUUAGUUACUGUAUAUUUUUGAUAAACUUGCCAGUAUCCGAUGAAAUUACUAUGCGUAUCAAUACUCUCCAAUUUUUUAUGUUCUUAUCUUGGUUUAUGUGCAGAUGUAACGAAACAUCUUUCCUUUCUUUAUUGACUUCAACAGUAUUGAUACGCAUACAGCUUUUUAUAUUUGUAACAACUAAAUAUGUGUUCUUAAUUAGUUUGGUACUUUAAAAAGUACUUUUUAUCAUAACAUUUUUAAUCUCCCUUGUGUUCACUGAGUAUCGAUACUCUUUAAUAUAGUUCCGCAAACUUCAGAGAAACGUUCCUCUAAAAAUAUAAGUGUUCUACCCACACAGUACUUAUUGUACACGGCUUCCAUUGAAGUAGCAAUAGUCUUUUCCAUCACAAGAGUAUCGGUACAUUUCAAGUUUAAAGGGAGUGAAGUUGUACCUUUAAUAAUUAAACACUUGUUAAUAAUAAGGAGAACAAUUUUUUUUUAAAACGUAAAUAAAGUAAGAGAGAAAAGCAUUUUUAAUUUGUUAAUAUCAAUAAGAGUCAGACUCUGGCGCGGGUUAACUUGCCACAUUUAUUAAACUUAAAAAAUUAAGUAAUUUGGAUCUUAAACAAUAUAUUGAUAUAUCUACCGAGUCCAGGGUUAGUGAUCAUCAUCUUCAAAAGGAGAAUUGGCGUUAAGUUAAAAACUAAAAUAAGAUUUCCGUAUGCUUUAAUAGAACAUUAUUUAAAAUUGAAGAUGAAUAUCCCUUUAUGAUUGAAACCCACUUUUCCUGAAGUGUGCCAAAAGAUCAAAUAGGUCAGUUUUGCCAAAAAAUCAAAUAGGUCAGUUAUGCCAAAAAAUCUCUAUUAUUUAACAACUUGCAGUUGAAUAGUGAGGAUCAAACCAUGUUUUGUAUGUGUUCAUAUUUAAUGAUAAAUAAAUUUGGAAUACGAAAAAAAUAUAUUCACUGUUGUAUGAUUUUUUUUUUGUA